rnacentral:lncRNA from 1 species
CUCGGUAAAAUGCACCACCAUCACUCCCCAGUCACCCAAGUCAGAACUGUGGGAGCCAUCCUUAUCUCAUCCUAUUCCUCACACCCACACCCAUUCAUUCAACAAAGGAACCCAGGCUGAAGAGCGUGCACAUGCUGUACCCAAGAGACAGAAGUGCACAGGGGAGAUGAACAGGGGGAUUUGGGAGCACAGGGACAGUUUUCUGGAAGAAAUGAUAGCCAGAAGAAGAGAAGGGGACAGAGCGUGCAAAGGCAUGGAAUAGAGGGAUAUCAGCAGCACGUGUGACCGAAGUGCAGAGUUUGAGGCAGGGAGGGGCGAGAAGGGGACUCUGGAAGGUUAGGCAGGGCUAGAUCUUAGAGAGCCGUGUUUCGGACUUGACCACAUAAGUGUCAGGAGUUUUUGAGAGGUGAAAUAAUCAGAUUUGCAUCUGUAGGCAGCUGUUUUAAGACUGGACCUUGACAUUUAGGAACCAUUGAUGGCUAGAAGCAGGAGCUAAGCUGUUAUUUUUAAAUUGUCAAUAAUUUUUUAACUGUGAUUUUAAGGACAGAAGCUAGAAUUUGUCUUGGAGACAAAUUACUUCCCUGUUUUGGGAAGAAUUUGGUUGGGCUCUCUCUUAGUCAAGUUGAUAUAAAAUAAGUACCCACUUGUUGUCUUUGGUGUAACCACAAACUUAGGUGAAAUAAUCCAGACAUGGGGCUGAUGGCAGGGGUGAGGAGGGCGACGCAACUUGUCAGGCUUCCCAGUCAGAGACUUUGGACAUUACAUUCAAAUGUGGUGUUAUCUGGUUCAGUGAUCUCCUCUAGGACUGAAAGAAGAUAUUCAUUCCACCAGUCAAAACUGUACCCCAGCCCUGGACUAGUGCACCAGUCCCAGCCUACAGUGCACUAAAAUAAGUUAGUGUUUUUUACAAAUCUUGUGAUUGGUAAAAAUAUAGCGUAUCAUGAUAUUUUUGUGUUGAAAACAGUAAUAUGUAGGAAAUAAAAACACUUUAAACAUGAUCAUUUUGGUUACCCCAUUUUGGGGUUUUUUUCAUUUAAUGUAUCAGGAGCCUA